GCUUGUUACUACCAUAAUACUUACACAAGAUAAUCUUCAACCCAUGAUAACAUCUGCUGUCAAAAAUUAAGACAUCCCUGAUAAAAAUAUCAAGACAUAACUCGACACUGAAGCUAUGUCCAUCUAUAAGUCUAUUACAGUGUCCAUAGCGCCCCACCAAGAGGAAAGGACAGCUAACCAGUAUUAGCUAUCAGAGUCAAAAAGUUCUGGUAGUGAUCAAAUGGCUUCCCGCCAAUCAUUGACAUUACUGGCUGGCCAAUCAAGGAACUUGUACGCCUCAAGUGAGGAUGGUAGAUAGGUCUGAGUUGACGAAGGAUUAUCAGGAGUGUAGAUGUAGCCCUUCCCAUACCCAAGCUCUUUCAUUACCUUAGUAGGUGCAUUUCUCAAAUGGAGCGGCACUCCCUCAUUUUGUCCAGUGGAUUCUCUAACAACCUUUUGUGCAGCCUCUAUUGCUUGAUAUACAGCAAUGGAUUUUGGAGCCAAAGCCAAGUAAGCCACGCACUGAGCGAGAAUCACAUUGCAUUCAGGCAUGCCCAAGAAAUGGCAAGCUUGGUAGCAAGCAACAGCCUGGUUAAGGGCCAAGGGAUCAGCCAAUCCAACAUCCUCACUUGCAAACCUAAUCAAACGCCUAGCUAUAUAGAGUGG
rnacentral:misc_RNA from 1 species